CAAUAUGGUUGAAACUUGAGGACAUCAUGCUAAGUGAAAUACUCCAGUCACAGAAGGACAACUACUGCAUGAUUCUGCUUAUAUAUGGUAUGUAAAAUAG